GAGUUUGAUCAUGGCUCAGGAUGAACGCUGGCGGCGUGCUUAACACAUGCAAGUCGAACGAACCUUCGGGUUAGUGGCGGACGGGUGAGUAACGCGUGAGAAUCUGCCCUCAGGAGGGGGACAACAGCUGGAAACGGCUGCUAAUACCCCAUAUGCCGCGAGGUGAAAUGAAUUUCGCCUGAGGAUGAGCUCGCGUCUGAUUAGCUAGUUGGUGUAGGUAAUGGCUCACCAAGGCAUCGAUCAGUAGCUGGUCUGAGAGGAUGAUCAGCCACACUGGGACUGAGACACGGCCCAGACUCCUACGGGAGGCAGCAGUGGGGAAUUUUCCGCAAUGGGCGAAAGCCUGACGGAGCAACGCCGCGUGAGGGAUGAAGGCCGCUGGGCUGUAAACCUCUUUUAUCAAGGAAGAAGAUCUGACGGUACUUGAUGAAUAAGCCACGGCUAAUUCCGUGCCAGCAGCCGCGGUAAUACGGGAGUGGCAAGCGUUAUCCGGAAUUAUUGGGCGUAAAGCGUCCGCAGGCGGCCCUUCAAGUCUGCUGUUAAAAAGUGGAGCUUAACUCCAUCAUGGCAGUGGAAACUGUUGGGCUUGAGUGUGGUAGGGGCAGAGGGAAUUCCCGGUGUGGCGGUGAAAUGCGUAGAUAUCGGGAAGAACACCAGUGGCGAAGGCGCUCUGCUGGGCCAUCACUGACGCUCAUGGACGAAAGCCAGGGGAGCGAAAGGGAUUAGAUACCCCUGUAGUCCUGGCCGUAAACGAUGAACACUAGGUGUCGGGGGAAUCGACCCCCUCGGUGUCGUAGCCAACGCGUUAAGUGUUCCGCCUGGGGAGUACGCACGCAAGUGUGAAACUCAAAGGAAUUGACGGGGGCCCGCACAAGCGGUGGAGUAUGUGGUUUAAUUCGAUGCAACGCGAAGAACCUUACCAGGGUUUGACAUCCUGCGAAUCUCUUGGAAACGAGAGAGUGCCUUCGGGAACGCAGUGACAGGUGGUGCAUGGCUGUCGUCAGCUCGUGUCGUGAGAUGUUGGGUUAAGUCCCGCAACGAGCGCAACCCACGUCUUUAGUUGCCAGCAUUUAGUUGGGCACUCUAGAGAGACUGCCGGUGUUAAACCGGAGGAAGGUGUGGAUGACGUCAAGUCAUCAUGCCCCUUACAUCCUGGGCUACACACGUACUACAAUGCUACGGACAAAGGGCUGCAAGUUCGCGAGGACAAGCAAAUCCCAUAAACCGUGGCUCAGUUCAGAUCGUAGGCUGCAACUCGCCUACGUGAAGGCGGAAUCGCUAGUAAUCGCAGGUCAGCAUACUGCGGUGAAUACGU
rnacentral:rRNA from 1 species